rnacentral:misc_RNA from 1 species
CUUGGAGUAUGAACCUUUGGGUGUGCAACUGUGCAUGACUUCCCAAUGAAGUUGUUUCCUCUUGACGUCAGUCUGAAUUCUUGAAGAAUUCUACUAGUCUGCUCCAAAUCAAACGCCUUGUCAAAUAAUUCGUGCUUUUAAUAUAAUGGGAAGUGGUGAUUGAAGCUAAAAGAUCACUACUCACUAUCAUUAUCUAGUUUCUGCUUUUAAUCUUUUAUCAAGAAGAACACAUCAGUAAGUCAUUUGGGUUCUGUUCCUUUUCCAUUUUCCAUUAAAAAGCCCAAAUUUUGAUACCCAUUUCUCUGUUUGAGGUAUUCUGACAGAAGGUACAAUAUUGCUGUUGGCAUUGACUUAAUGAUGGGUACGGUUAAAAAGGAUAAUUGGGAUGACGAGUACUCUAUUAUUGGUGACAAGGGUGAGAUUGGUUUCAUUGAUUUUGAGGAUGAUAAAUCCAUUUGUAAUUAUGAUCCUGAUGAAGAAGGGUCAGUUGUUAUAUCUGUCCCAUUUCCUUUUGUAAGAGGGAAGCCUCAAUCUAUUAUUGUAGGUGAAACUUCAAAGUAUUCAAUUACCAUAGCAAACACUGCUAGUGACCCUGUGGAGCUUUGGGGUGUUAGGAUUUUUUGCUCAAAUCCUGCAGAUUCAUUUACUUUAUCUCUUUUAGAACCUCCAUCAGCCAAUUCAAAGGUGGAAAACGUCCGUGGCUUCUUGGAGUCAUAUUCUAUUGAGGAUAGAGUACUUCAGCCACACCAAACACUAACUAUUUGGUUAUCUUGUAAACCAAAGGAAAUGGGAUUGUACACCUCCGUGUUGCAUUUUGAUGUAGGUGAUGAUAGGAUCGAACGUGUUGUUUUUCUGUUGGCUGAAGAUAAAGUCUCUCAGUCUCUGGCUUCUAACAGGCCUUAUUCAAGAACUCCAAGAAGAAAACAGUUUGUCAUGGACGAAUAUGCAUUUUCAUCACGCCCUGCAAAGUCUCAUCCUGUCAAGGCAAUGGUCCGAGGAAUUAAAUUUAAGCUUCCUGAAUUUCCAAUCCCAAGGGAUGCAAGAGAGUUGCUGGAGAAUAAGCGAGUUCCUGAUGUUCUUAUGGAAGGUUUGAAUAGGAAGAACUAUGCUUCUUUUUUCAGUGCAUUGCUCAUAAUGGAAGAACUACAUUUGGAGAAAGAAAUGAGGUGUCAUGACAUGGAGUUUAUCGGCAUGAGAAGGAAAGGGGCUCAACUUCUGGCUUUGGAGGUCCCGGGGCUUGCUGAGAGAAGGCCUUCACUUGUACAUGGUGAUUAUGUUUUCGUGAAGCUUGCAUCCAGCACAACUGCCAACACUGUUCAUAAGGGAUGCAUUUAUCGUGUUGAAGCUGAUGAAGUGCUUCUGAGAUUUACCAAGGAUCUUCAUGCAUGUCACCAGAAUGGGAAUUUGUAUAAUGUUCGGUUUGCAUAUAAUAGGGUGAAUAUAAGGAGGUUGUAUCAAGCAGUUGAAGCAGCAGAGAACUUAGAGCCUGAUCUUCUCUUUCCGUCUCAAUCUACCAGGAGGAGAUUGAUUACAACAGCAAGAUUUGUGCCUUUUACUAGCAGUCUGAAUGCAGAGCAAAUGCAUUCUGUGCAAAUGAUCCUGGGUUGUGAAGGUGCUCCUCCCUACGUAAUCUAUGGGCCUCCGGGUACUGGAAAAACCAUGACACUGGUGGAAGCGGUAUUACAAGUAUAUGCAACAAGAAAGGAUGGUAGAAUUCUUGUGUGUGCUGCUUCAAACAGUGCAGCAGAUCACAUACUAGAAAAAGUCAUCAGUCAUGAGGUUGCUAAAGUUAAAGAGAAUGAACUUUUUAGGUUAAAUGCCUCUAGUCGACCUUAUGAAGAUCUUCAGCCUGAUCAUAUUCGCUUUUGCUAUUCUGUUGAUUCAAUUUUCAAAUGCCCUCCACUUGAUGCCUUGAUCAAAUAUAGGAUCGUGAUUUCUACAUAUACGUGUUCAUUGCUACUGCAUGCAGAAGGUAUUGGUCGUGGUCAUUUCUCUCAUAUUUUCUUGGAUGAGUCUGGCCAAGCUUCAGAGCCAGAAAGCAUGGUUCCUAUAUCUAGCUUUUGCCAAAGGAAUACUGUUGUUGUUCUGGCAGGUGAUCCAAAGCAACUUGGUCCUGUUGUGUAUUCCAAAGAUGCUGAGGCAUUUGGAUUAGGAAAAUCUUAUCUCCAAAGGUUGUUUGAAUGUGAAUUUUACCAAAAUGAAGAUGAAGGUUUUGUAACAAAAUUAGUGAGGAAUUAUCGAUGCCACCCAACAAUUCUGCACCUCCCAUCUAAGCUAUUCUACAAGGGGGAGUUACUUGCAUGUAAAGAAGACACUUCUUCCUCCUUAAGUUCUGACAUGGCUCUUCUUCCUAGCAAAGAAUUUCCUGUUCUAUUUGUUGGCAUUCAAGGCUGUGAUGAGAGGGAAGGCAAUAAUCCAUCAUGGUUUAACCGAAUUGAGGCAAGCAAGGUUGUUGAAAUUAUAAGGAAGCUGAGAGAAAGUACAGAUAUAAAUGAGACUGAUAUUGGGGUAAUAACACCUUAUCGACAACAAGUCCUGAAGAUCAAAAAGGCACUUGAAACUUGGGAAAUGUUGGAUGUGAAGGUUGGGAGCGUCGAACAAUUUCAAGGACAAGAGAGAGAGGUCAUUAUUGUAUCUUGUGUGAGGUCAACCGUCAAGCACAAUAACUUUGACAGAACUUAUUGUCUGGGUUUCCUCAGCAACCCAAAGAGAUUUAAUGUUUCAAUUACCCGAGCUAGAUCUUUGCUUAUCAUUGUUGGCAAUCCACACAUUAUCAAUAAGGAUCCGUACUGGGAAGAGCUUUUGUGGUAUUGUGUGGAUAACAACUCCUACAAAGGCUGCCCUCUCCCUGAAAGGCCUAUUCCAGGGAGAGGCUUGAAUUGUGAAACAGGGGAUUCUUAUGUCUCAACAUCCCGAAGUAGGGACAUCGUUCCAGAAACUCUGCGGGCUGUCACCAAUGAAGCCGAAUGUUUAGAUGGUUGGAAGUAAUUUCCUCACUUUAUCAGGAUUUCUGCUUUUUUGGUUUGUAGGAAUUGGGACAAUAUUUUAGGUUGCUUUGUUUCUCUGUUAGAACUGCAUGAAAUCCCACAUCGGAUAAAUAAAUUUGAUUGGCAUAUGGUCGGAUCUAUAAGUAGAAGUUGGAACUCACAAUGAAACAUACUUACCUGGACGGGGUCAAUGGGUGAUCAAGAAGGCUCAUGGCCUAGGUCAGUGACUUCCAUUGCACUUGGGAGGGGUGCUGUCCUAAGGUCUCCCCAAGUGGGAGAGCCUACGUCAUAAUUUGUGGCAGUGGGGGCCUGCGUUCGCGCGGCCCCUUCCAAUCUUACUGUCAAAGGUUGUUCUGUUCAAUUGUCCAUCUUAACGUGGGCUUAAUUUCUGUUUCUCUUCUAUUUUCCAUGUUAAAAGUGGGCUUAGGUCUGGUUCUCUAUAAAGACCACGAGCAAGUUUGCGCGUGGCUUAGUUUCGUGGGUAGGAAUGAUAAUAGAGAACUUUUGCAAAGAUUAUUGAAACCUAAAUUUAAUAAACAAA